rnacentral:rRNA from 1 species
CCUACGGGUGGCAGCAGUGGGGAAUAUUGCACAAUGGGGGAAACCCUGAUGCAGCGACGCCGCGUGCGUGAAGAAGUCUCUCGGUAUGUUAAGCUCCUUUUGCAGGGAAGUAAACGACGGUACCUGUUUAAGAAUCCCUGGCUAAUUACGUGCAAGCAGCCGCGGUAACAUGGAGGGGGCCAGCGUUAUCCGGAUUUACUGGGUGUAAAGGGAGCGUAGACGGCAGCACAAGUCAGUAGUGAAAUGCCGGGGCUUAACCCCGGAACUGCUUUUGAAACUGUGCAGCUAGAGUGCAGGAGAGGUAGGUGGAAUGCCUGGUGUAGCGGUGAAAUGCGUAGAUAUUAGGAGGAACACCGAUGGCGAAGGCAGCUUACUGGACUGUAACUGACGUUGAGGCUCGAAAGCGUGGGGAGCAAACAGGAUUAGAUACCCGUGUAGUC